rnacentral:rRNA from 1 species
AGAGAUGUGUGAUGACGCAUAUCAAUAAGCGGAGGAAAAGAAACUAACAAGGAUUCCCUUAGUAACGGCGAGUGAAGCGGGAAGAGCUCAAAUUUGAAAUCUUCAAGGUUCUACCUUGACGAAUUGUAGUUUAUAGAAGUGUUUUCUGUUAGUAGGAGUGGCAAAAGUUCUUUGGAAUAGGACAUCAUAGAGGGUGAGAAUCCCGUAUUUGGUCAUUCCUUCUAGCGUUGUGAUACACUUUCAAAGAGUCGGAUUGUUUGGGAAUGCAGUCCAAAAUGGGUGGUAAAUUUCAUCUAAAGCUAAAUAUUGGCGAGAGACCGAUAGCGAACAAGUACCGUGAGGGAAAGAUGAAAAGAACUUUGAAAAGAGAGUUAAACAGUACGUGAAAUUGUCAAAAGGGAAGCGUUUGACACCAGUGUUGUUUUUCCGAAAAUCAAUUACGAAUGUUUUAGUUUUUAAGAAGUUAUGACUUCAUCGGCUUGCUUCUCUCUUUACGAAACUUUCUUAAUGCACUUUUCGGUUAACAAGUCAACAUCAAUUUCUUUUGUUGUAAAAGGGUACGAGGAAGGUGGCUUUCUUUUCGGAUGAAAGUGUUUAUAGCCUUGUACCUCUGCAAUCGGAGAGAUUGAGGUCUGCAGCGUAGAUCCUUCGGGGUUAGAUACAUUUGUGCUAAGUUAUAGCUUUUCAUAGACAACUUGUUGACUAUGUUAAGUCUUGUAGCUUACUCGCUUAUGCUAUUUUACCUACGCUUAGGAUGUUGACGAUCAGCUGAGCGCG